rnacentral:rRNA from 1 species
GACAGAGGGGGCAAGCGUUGUUCGGAAUCACUGGGCGUAAAGCGCACGUAGGCGGACUUUUAAGUCAGGGGUGAAAGCCUGAGGCUCAACCUCAGAACUGCCCUUGAUACUGGGAGUCUUGAGUAUGGUAGAGGUUGGUGGAACAGCAAGUGUAGAGGUGAAAUUCGUAGAUAUUUGCUAGAACACCAGUGGCGAAGGCGGCCAACUGGACCAUAACUGACGCUGAGGUGCGAAAGCGUGGGGAGCAAACAGG